UACGGAGGGUGCGAGCGUUGUCCGGAAUCACUGGGCGUAAAGGGCGCGUAGGCGGCGCGGGCAGUCAACGGUGAAAGCUUGGGGCUCAACCCCGAGUCGGCCGUCGAUACUCCCGUGCUUGAGCACUGUAGAGGCAGGUGGAAUUCCGGGUGUAGCGGUGGAAUGCGUAGAGAUCCGGAAGAACACCGGUGGCGAAGGCGGCCUGCUGGGCAGUAGCUGACGCUGAAGCGCGACAUCGUGGGGAGCAAACAGG
rnacentral:rRNA from 1 species